rnacentral:rRNA from 1 species
AGUGAACGCUGGCGGUAGGCCUAACACAUGCAAGUCGAACGGCAGCACAGUAAGAGCUUGCUCUUACGGGUGGCGAGUGGCGGACGGGUGAGGAAUACAUCGGAAUCUACUUUUUCGUGGGGGAUAACGUAGGGAAACUUACGCUAAUACCGCAUACGACCUACGGGUGAAAGCAGGGGAUCUUCGGACCUUGCGCGAUUGAAUGAGCCGAUGUCGGAUUAGCUAGUUGGCGGGGUAAAGGCCCACCAAGGCGACGAUCCGUAGCUGGUCUGAGAGGAUGAUCAGCCACACUGGAACUGAGACACGGUCCAGACUCCUACGGGAGGCAGAAGUGGGGAAUAUUGGACAAUGGGCGCAAGCCUGAUCCAGCCAUACCGCGUGGGUGAAGAAGGCCUUCGGGUUAUAAAGCCCUUUUGUUGGGAAAGAAAAGCAGCAGGUUAAUACCCCGCUGUUCUGACGGUACCCAAAGAAUAAGCACCGGCUAACUUCGUG